AUAAUACUGCUGACCCGUGACACGUCCUAUGAACAGGCGGUUGUUCAUAACUAAAACUCUGACUGUAGCGUCCUGCGUACAACCGCCUGUUCAUAACGCGGCCAAUGACUUUGAACGUCACCUGUAGCUGCUUACAAGUGAAUGUUUCCAGUAUAAAAAAUAUUUCUCUAUGCCUUAAACAUUUAUAAUUCGAAUCGACACGACUCCGAGACAGGCAAUAGAGACCAAAACCACAAAAUAAAAAAAAAAAGUGAAUCAUUGAUUGAGUUGCGUCAUCGGCCAUAGUUUGUGACAUUUCUCUUGUUCAACGAAUAUUUGGAUUGUGAAUUAUGCCGAGAGGAAUAAUUAGAUGAGUGAUAAUUGAGACGUAUAUUACUGGAAAUUUUACGUAGAAUACGUUUAUGAUAUUGGUUUUAGGGAUAUUUGAAGAAUACUCAGUGAAAAAGUGUCUCAACUUUUCAGUGCGGAAGACGCAAAAUGGCGCUUUUUUUCUUGUUUGUGAAUAAUGGAUAUUUGUUAUUAUUCAUAGUGAAAUACGUUGUGUUAAAUGUGUGAAAAUAUAAGUGAAUGUAUUUGGCAAUCGUGUAGUGAUAUGAAAACGUGAAUAUGAUCAUUUGAUGACUCACCAUUAUCAUGUAAGUGUUAGUAUGUAAGCAAUUAAAAUUAAAACAAAAGAAAAUCAAUUUUUUAUAAUUUUAUAGAAAAAAUAUAUCGUCAUGAUUACAUUUUUAUGCUAUAACUAGUUUCUUCCUCUUUCCAAAAAUAUAUCAUACAUGGCAUAUAAUUAUAGAACAAUAGGGUAAAUAAAAUUUUCAAACUCGGUAGUCAUAAAAAAGCUAGAUUUCGUAAACUACCUCGACAUACUUGGGACACAUAACAUCCGUGCAUAGGACGUGUCACGGGGU